UAUAACCUAAAUAAUCCUCCAUUUCCAAAAGUCAAUCCACACAUAUGCCUGGGGUCCUGAUGUAGAAGAGGCAUUAAAACAUGAGGACAGAGACCAGAUGAAAAAGAGCCUCUUGAGACCAUCAGAGGGCAAGGAAACCACAGCUCAGGAGGACAGACCUUCCCACAUCAUGUAGCUACUCCAAAGAAGAUACACAAAUGGCCAAUAGGAGCAUGAGAAGAUGCUCAGUGUCCUUAUCUACUAGAGAGAGGCAAAUCAAAACCACAGUGAGAGGCCUUUUCACACCCACUAGGAUGGUUGUAAUUAAAAAAAGAAAAAAUAGAUGGACAAACCCUGUAUUGGGAAGGCUGUAGAGAAGUCGCAACCUCCGUGCACAGCUGAUGGGAAAGUAAAGUGGGACUACUGCUUUGAAAAAUAAUCUGGCAGUUCCUCAAAAUGGUAUAUGCAUUGAGUUAGCAUAUGACCCAGCCACUGGACUUCCAGGGACAGGAGAAAUAUAAGUGUAUCCAAGUGAAAUGUAGCACACAAAUGUUUUUAGCCGCCUUAUGUGCCAUAGCCGAACAAUGGAACCAACCCAAACGUCUGUCAAUGAAUAAAUGGGUAAAUGUAAGAUGGUAUAUCAAUGCACUGGAAUAUUACUCAGCCAUAGAAAAGAAGGGAGAAGUGACAGGCAACAACGUAGAAGAACCUUGAAAAAAUGAGGCUACACGAAAGAAGCCGGACACAAAUGUCUGCCUAAGUUACAGUUCUCUCGACAUGAAACAACUAUUGCCCGCAAAUCUAUGGAGACAGAAAACAGACUAGUGGUUGCUUAGGGCUGAAGGGUUAAGGAUGAAUGGAGAACAACUGCUAAUGGGCAAAGGUUUUUUCACUUGGGGUAAUAAAAAUGUUCUACAAUUGAUUGUACAGAUAAUAGCACAACUCUGUGAAUGUACUAGAACCCAGCGGACUGUGUGUACAAAUUACAUGGGUGGAUUGCGUGCUGCAUGUAUCUCAACAAAGCUGUUUUUAAAAAAUCAUGCCAGGGUGCCUGGGCGGCUCAGUCGUUAGGCAUCUGCCUCAGGCUCAGGUCAUGAUCCUGGGGUCCUGGGAUCGAGCCCUGCAUCGGGCUCCCUGCUCAGCAAGAUGCCGGCUUCUCCCUCUCCCGGUCCUCCUGCUGUGUUCCCUCUCUCUCUCCCUCUGACAAAUAAAUUUAAAAAAAAAAAAAAAAAAUCAUGCCACACACAGUAAGCCAAGCACAGAAGCCAGCCAGGGUUGUCCUGACUCCAAAACCGUGCUCCCCCUCAGGAAAAGCAGAUUGCCUAACUGGGUAGGAGGGUCAUCCAGUGAGCUUGUCACACAGAUUCCCCGGCCCACUGUGUCCAGUUGAGUCGAGGCAGUGAGGCUGGGAGUGGGGUGGGGGGUGCUCCAUGCUUAAAAACAUCCCACUGGGUGGAGGGCAGGUGGUCUGCGGCCGCGGCUGGACAACCAUGGUCCCUGGCUCUGCGCCUCACAGCUCGCCACGGACCUUCGUCGGUGAGCACGCGGAGGGGAGAGAGAACAAACACAUCCUGGUCAAGUUUGCCACCUGCCUGGGUCUUCCGGAAUGACUCGCUUCACGCUCAAGUGUAAUCCUUGAAAGGAAGAGAAUUUCAGCGAACUUGAGGUAACCCAUUCUCUGGGGCUUCUUUUUGAAGAACUAAUCUGAACAAGCUUGGAAAGCACCCAGCGGUGGUUAAAUUUCAAUCUUUUUGUGCUGUUACAUCUUUGUUCCCUUUACCUUCUCCUUGAAGUGGAAGUGAUUGAUGCUUGAGUAACUUUGGCUGUUGAGUAAUGUUUAUUCAGACCGCAGGGGAACAAGAUAGGGUUUAAGUACGAGGUGGGCACGUUUCCUUUGAAUGGCACAAGUUGAGGCUUUGAAAGUCAAGUGUAUUCCCAAUUGCACAGUAUAAUAACGAGAGAGGGGCCAGUGGGUAAAAAGUCUCCUGCAGACAAUCCGUGUGCAGAACUCAAGUGCAGCUCAAACACUAUCCCAAAGCCACCUGAGUCGAAGUCCCGGGUCAUAAAUAUUGACUGGGGCCUGGAACGUUCUGAGGAUAUCUUAGGUCUUGCGGUGAGCACUUUUGACCUCGGAACUGGAGGGCUUUGUAAAGAAGCUUCUGAGGCUGUGAGGAAAGAGGCAAGUCCUGUUUCCAUAUUUCAGACCUUCUGCAGGUAGUGGUGGUCCCAGCCUCACCUGGCACCUCAGGGGUCUGCGGAGACUAGCGAGAAGAAGGAACCUCCCCUGAGACACCCGUGAUGAUGGUGAUCGCCUCCGGAGGAGCCCCAGCACCUCCAUGUGUGGGCUCCUUCCUGUCCCUUGGCUCUAGUGGGCCAGUGGUACAGCCAACAGGGCUCAGACCCGUCCAAAACACACCCAAGGAUUUGGCUUGGCACGCUAUUAUUUGAUCUCAAAAUCCAAAAAUAUGCAAGCAAACGCAGGAAAGAGUAAUUGUCCUCAUUUUGCUAGGGUGGUCUAAUACUUGAAAUUGGUCCUCUUUGAACCUCUGGGUUGGAGAUGGAGCGAGAGCCCUACAUGCUCCAGGGAAGCAAAGUUAAGAGUUUUCUGAGCUCUCGGUUUGGGCUCCAUUGAUAAGCGUUGGUGGUGCUUGAAAUGGCCCUCUCCUUCUGGGGGGCGCUGCAGCGGUGGAGGGAAGAGCUGAGGGCCUCUGCCUAUUCUCCCCAAGAGCUUCCAGAAGGAAUGCCCCCCGGCACCAGCUUGAGUUUAGCCUGGGAUGCCUGUGUUGGGCUUCUCACCCACAGAACCGUGAGACAGGCUAGUGUUGUUUCAAGCCAGGACAUUGGGACUAUUUGUUACCUCACCAACAGAAAACUAAUAUACGGGUUAGGAUCAUGGGUGUACGAGUUCUUUGACAAGUGCUGUCUAGAUGGAAACCGGAAGGGUCCCUGUUGCUCAGAGGCCAGGAGGGCUGGGGACAUCCGCCGAGUCGACACCACAUCCCCACAGAUGAACGUGUCAGACUCGCCCUCCCUCUUUGUUUAGGCUCCUCUCUGCAUGGAGAAAACUCGCAGAGACCUCGGUGUCCAACGUCACCCCUCCUGCACCCACUGAGGCACGUAACUUCGUCCCCAGCAGAGGGGAGGGCCUCGGGACAGCUGGGGUCCUUGGCCUUAGCCAGAGGUUCUCAACCCUGGUGUCACAUUAAAAGCACCCAGACACCUUUGGAAGCCUGCCAGUGAGCGGGCCCCCACCUCGGAGACACCGAUUGGCCUGGUCUGUGGGGCGGCCUGGCCCCGAGCAUCUUGUAAACACUCCGGCAGCAGCGGCCAGUAUGGGGAGAGCUUGCGGGGGCCUGGGGAGAGCUGGAGAGA